rnacentral:snoRNA from 1 species
ACUGUAUGAUGAUCAACAAGGGACUUAAUACUGAUCAUGUAUGAUGUCACCUUUUUUUAUUGUCUGAUGCAG